rnacentral:rRNA from 1 species
UAGGGAGUAUUGCGCAAUGGAGGAAACUCUGACGCAGCAACGCCAUGUGUGGGAUGACGCAUUUCGGUGUGUAAACCACUGUCGGCAGGGAAUAAACUAUAUCAAUGAUAUACUGAAGGUACCUGCAAUAGGAAGCACCGGCUAACUUCGUGCCAGCAGCCGCGGUAAUACGAGGGGUGCAAGUGUUGUUCGGAAUCACUGGGCGUAAAGGGAGCGUAGGCGGGAAAGCAAGUCAGGUGUUUAAUACCGGGGCCCAACUCCGGUGCUGCAUUUGAAACUGCUUUUCUUGAAUGUGAAAGAGGUAGAUGGAAUUCUUGGUGGAGCGGUGGAAUGCGUAGAUAUCAAGAGGAACACCAGUUGCGAAAGCGGUCUACUGGUUCAACAUUGACGCUGAGGCUCG